CUAGCAGGUGCAGGGUGAGGCAAGGCUUUCUAUGGGGAGAACAGAGACUAUGUCCGUUGAACAGGUGAGAGUCGGCUGUGACAAGGAGUCUCUCAUUUCUCCAGCUGCCUAUAGGAAAUUAGAGUGGGGUCUUCAGUGUGAGACAGUGGACGUCUAGAGGCAGCUUCUUCCUCCACAUGCUCCCAGGGCACUCUUCUCACCCCUACCCCCCACCCCUGUCUCUCCUAGAGAUGCUCCCACCUUUGAUGCCAGUUUGUCAAACAAUCCAUCCACCUCCUCUUGCUGUUGUGGCAUUCCCAGUUCACUCCUGAGCUGGCUGUCAGAGUUGGAACCUGGUCUCGUCUAUGUUGGGCUCCCUGAACUCCCAGCAUUUGGUGGAGGAGUCCUAGCUGCCUGCUUUACACCUCUGCUGCCAACAGAGCUAUUUUAUAUACUGGGAUUUCUCUUGAGAUUUAAAUUGAGUAUGAAUUUAUGUGCUCUAAAAAAAGUUUAUGGACCACUGAACCAGACAUUAUCAAAAUAUAUCUUGAAUCCUGCAAGGCAAGCACUACGAUCUCCAGUUUACAUAUGGAAAAACCAAGACUGAGACUUCUGAAGCAGAAGUUAUGUGCAUAUUGCAAUCCAAGUCCCUGGAGCUUGAGCAGCUAUGACAUGGCCAGGGGUAUGGAUCUCUAUAGUCUCCUCGAUAAGAAGUUUGUCUGUAACCAAAGAGGGCUGAUACUCCAAUCCCUUCCCAGACCUGUUCUAGUUGAGAUGGCACUCAUCUGUCCCUCUCCUCCCUGAUUUUUGUUACUUGAGGUGAUCUUCUGUGGCUCUGGCUCCUGACCGUCGGCAUGGAUAAAUGUUUACAGUCAAGGUAUUUACCUGCAAAAUGAGUACCCUAGUCAUAGGGUUUCUUUUUGACCCUGCUUUGAAACUUUGAUAAUCCCUUUAGUUAUCCUGAGUCUAUUUCUCACUAGGAUAUAUGGGUAACAAUGCCUUAUACCAUGAGACUAGAAAAGAUAAAACAUGACAUUCCGUAGAACUCCCAGCUUGUCACAGGUCCUGAAAAAUUUCACCUCACACAGGCCUCUGUGUGGGGGCAUGAUGGCAUUCAGAAAAGUGUUGAGUCAUG
rnacentral:lncRNA from 1 species